rnacentral:rRNA from 1 species
UGCCAGCCGCCGCGGUAAUACGGAGGGGGUUAGCGUUGUUCGGAAUUACUGGGCGUAAAGCGCGCGUAGGCGGAUUGGAAAGUUGGGGGUGAAAUCCCGGGGCUCAACCCCGGAACUGCCUCCAAAACUGUUAGUCUUGAGAUCGAGAGAGGUGAGUGGAAUUCCAAGUGUAGAGGUGAAAUUCGUAGAUAUUUGGAGGAACACCAGUGGCGAAGGCGGCCCCCUGGACAGACACUGACACUCAGAUGCGAAAGCGUGGGGAGCAAACAGGAUUAGAUA